UGAUGAUACAGUAUUUUUUGUGGAGAAUUUAGUGAUGGUAUUAGCAAAAUACGAUCAUAAUCAAAUGUAUUAUAUCGGAGGAAAUUCAGAAAGCGUUGAACAAAACGUGAUACACUCUUAUUCUACAGCUUAUGGGGGUGGUGGAUUUGCUAUUAGUUAUCCUCUAGCAGAGGAGCUCGUCAGGGUUUUGGAUGGGUGCAUUGAUCGAUACUCUUGGUUUUAUGGCUCUGAUCAGAGGAUCCAGGCUUGCAUGAGCGAGAUUGGAAUCCCUCUAACCAAAGAGCUUGGUUUCCACCAGGUUGACAUAAGAGGAAACCCAUAUGGUUUACUAGCCGCACAUCCACUGGCGCCAUUGGUGUCGCUCCACCACCUGGACAAUAUGAACUCAAUAUUUCCAGGCAUGACCCAGAUUGAGUCCCUCCAAAAGCUCAUUAAACCUUACAGAUUGGAUCCGGGCCGGACUCUACAACACAGUUUCUGUUACGAUUUCAGCCGUAAUUGGUCAGUAUCAGUUUCUUGGGGCUACACCAUCCAGCUGUAUCCGUCUUUAGUGAAAGCCACGCAGCUGGAUAUGGCGUUUAGAACGUUUCGAACAUGGCGGACUUGGAAGCCUGAGCCCUUCACGUUCAACACCCGACCCAUGAGUCAGGACCCGUGCGAGAGACCGGUUACAUAUUUCUUGGAUCGGAUUGAGAGUGUUGGGCGGGGUCAGACCUUGACCACGUAUAAAAGACACGUGGAGAAAGGAAAUAAAAGUUGUGACCGACCGGACUAUGCUUCUCUUCAGGCCGUUCUUUCUGUCAACGUGACAAGUUCCCAACUGAACACCGACAUCUUUAAAAUGGCACCACGAAGACAGUGCUGCGAGAUAUUUAACAGCGACAAGGAGGUGGUACAAGUCAAGAUUAGAGGCUGCAAUCAAUUUGAAAGCGUCACUCCUCCGUAGAAUAUUGAGCACAAAAUUUACCUAAAUGCGUCAUUCCCUUUCACUUUGUGAUCAUUUUCC
rnacentral:misc_RNA from 1 species